AGUGGCGGACGGGUGAGUAACGCGUAGGAACCUACCUGGUAGCGGGGGGACAACCUGGUGAAAACCAGGCUAAUACCGCAUACGCCCUACGGGGGAAAGCAGGGGAUCUUCGGACCUUGCACUAACAGAUGGGCCUGCGUCGGAUUAGCUAGUUGGUGAGGUAAUGGCUCACCAAGGCGACGAUCCGUAGCUGGUUUGAGAGAAUGAUCAGCCACACUGGGACUGAGACACGGCCCAG
rnacentral:rRNA from 1 species